UAUUCAUUCAAAAUGAAAUGAAUGGAUCUCUCUCAUUCAUCAUUCGCUUACUCAGCUCCGUCAGUGCAUGCCUAAGUCACGCGUACAAGUCACAGUUCUUGGAUACAUUGUCCCAGCUUCCCAGGUAUUUGAUCUUCUUUCGAAGAAAAAAAAAUCUUAAAGAUGAGAAAGCUUGUCCUGAUUCUCUUGAUCUCGAUGUUUCUGGUAGCUGAGCUUAUGGAAGGAACAGAGGCUGAAUUCGCUCGACGCCGAAGGACCGCACCGAACGCUCGCAAAAAGAGAAAAGACAUUCUAGAAGACCAAGUUCCCAAAGCCGACAUUCUCAUCAACAGAGGGUCUAAAGCAGACGAACUAUAGCAUCCUUUUCUUCAGUCCAUCGGCAGAUGAUGAUAGGAUAUUUACUUUAUCUGCUUCAAAAUACUGGAACGAUCUACCUCUUAGAUUUAGGCAGUCUCCAUCAGCUAUUACCUUCAGAAAGGCCUUUAAAACACAUCCUUUUUGCAGUUGGUAGUUUAAGACUGUUUUUCUUAUUACAUGUAUAAAUAAUUUAUGCUAUUUUAAUUUUCAUUCACAGUAAGUGCUUAUGGGAAAAAUGCGGUAUGAGUAAUAAUAAUAAUAAUAUUCAAUCAUUAUUUGAACCCGCGAAUUCAAGUAAUAAUAAUAAUAAUAAUAAUAAUAUGUCUUGUUUACACAGGUUAGCCUCAUCAGUAUUCAUACUGUUCUCCCUGAGGGCCCUGCAAUCAAAUUAUUAAUUAUUAUUAAUUAUUAUAAAGUCAGCUUUAAUAUCGAAGAUACAUCAAACGGUCAAAAUAAUUAUCUAUUCAAAUAUGAUUACUCGUUAGUGCCCCUCGUAUAGAGUGUUUCUAUUCAAAUUUGAAUAGAAUCAGGUAUAUAUGUUUGAUGAAAGAAAAACUAAUACUUUCAAUUUUG